GUCUAAGGCCAUGCCACCCUGAAUGUGCCCAAUCUCAUUUGAUCUCAGAAGCUAAGUAGUGUCGGGCCUGGUUAGUACUUGGAUGGGAGACCACCUAGGAAGACCAGGUGCUGUAGGCC
rnacentral:rRNA from 1 species